UCUGGAACAGAUUCCAUCCACACAACAUACUAAAGUAUAUUUGGCUAGCCCAUGAGCCAAUUUAUUCCCAUCCCUCUUAGUAAAUCGAAAUUUACACUUUAUAAAAAAAACCUUUCAUAUUUCUAAUGCCCAGCACUAUCUUUCCCAUGUAAGAUCUAGAAACAGAAACACUUCCGUUCACCCUUUUUACGAGUUUAUCACAGUCACUCUCGAACUACUGCCCCUAAUCCCCAGGUAGGAUUGAUGAAGAUGAAGAAGAUGAUGAGAGAAGAAGAUGAAGAAAAUGAGAAAAGUGUUAGGUGUUAGUGGUUGACAGGAAAGUACAAUAGACUCUACAUAAUUCAAUGGUCCUCUUUUAAAGAAUAAAUCAAAUGGUUAAAAUUCAAAAAUUUAAUACGGUCUAUGGUGAACCACCUUUAAAUAUGGUUCACCUUAGAUUUUUGAUGUUAAAAUCUAACGGAGAUGACCAAAAUAGUAAACGAUAGAAGAUUUAUGGGACCAAAUUGAGACACUUUAUAGUUAGGGGACCAAAAUGAAAUCCAAAAGUAAGUUAAGGGACCAAAGCAUGUAUUAAGCCAUAUUUUAUUGUUGUAGGCUAUUAACAUGGAUGAUUUCAUUUUGUUU
rnacentral:lncRNA from 1 species